rnacentral:rRNA from 1 species
AUUGAACGCUGGCGGAAUGCUUUACACAUGCAAGUCGAACGGCAGCACGGGGGCAACCCUGGUGGCGAGUGGCGAACGGGUGAGUAAUACAUCGGAACGUGCCCAGUCGUGGGGGAUAACGUAGCGAGAGCUACGCUAAUACCGCAUACGAACUCUGGUUGAAAGCGGGGGAUCGCAAGACCUCGCGCGAUUGGAGCGGCCGAUGGCAGAUUAGGUAGUUGGUGGGGUAAAGGCUCACCAAGCCGACGAUCUGUAGCUGGUCUGAGAGGACGACCAGCCACACUGGGACUGAGACACGGCCCAGACUCCUACGGGAGGCAGCAGUGGGGAAUUUUGGACAAUGGGCGCAAGCCUGAUCCAGCCAUUCCGCGUGCAGGAUGAAGGCCCUCGGGUUGUAAACUGCUUUUGUACGGAACGAAACGGCUCUCUCUAAUACAGGGGGCUAAUGACGGUACCGUAAGAAUAAGCACCGGCUAACUACGUGCCAGCCGCCGCGGUAACAC